UUUGGCUUCGAUCGAAAAAAAACGUAUCGGACAUUUCCAUAACGCAAACGACUUGUGAUUCCCCUCUAUUAUAAAAUAAAGAUUGUAUUCAAAAACAAUUCAAAAAGUUACUUGCUCGCCUGACUGCUUAUCCUAUUUAUGAACUGGAUAAAGAUAAAACCUGAACAGGUUCAUUAUUGUUGAUAUAACCCAACACGUCAACUACUGGAAAACAAGAACAAUCAGGUCCAAAAUAUAGGGUUUCACUUCGCAAUGAACAAUAAUGAAUACGCAAAUAAAUGAUUUUUACCUUA